rnacentral:tRNA from 1 species
GUCCCCAUAGCUCAACGGAUAGAGCAGCAGCCUUCGAAGCUGUUGGUGGGGGUUCGAUUCCCUCUGGGGACACAA